UUGACAAAUUUAAAUGCUUACUCAUUUUUCACACAACGUGUGCUCAUCUAGUAGUGGGAGUGCUCACAAGCAAAUCUUAUUUUUUUGUCUUUCUUACCCCCUAAAAUGUUUCAGUCACUGGGGAUCUCACUUUGACUGAAUUUUCAGCUCAUAGCCUGUCGCUAGACUCAGUCUGUCUCUAUUAACAGAUAGGGGGUGGGAAAAUGCUUACCACACCCUGUAUCUGUCUGCACCUACAGUCAGUGCCUGAGCUCAGCACCUAAACUUCUAGCUACAGGAUCUCAGGAUCUCUGCAGCUGCAAGUGAGUCAGUUUAUGCUACAUUAUAGUCAAAUAGCUUCGUCCAUAGUUAUUUAUAUUUAUCUCAUGUUGUCAGUGUAUUUGUUAUACAGGGCUUUCACAUGCUUAAAUGAUUUUUUGUGACCCAAACAGAAUGCAGUUAGUCACCAGAGGCCUGAGGAUGUGCUAUUGAGUAUGAAACGGACACCGUUGUCUAGGUGCACACUCCUGCCAGUUCCUGCCCUGCAUUUGUAGCACUGAGUGUUGUGUUUUGCUUAUCCACCCUGUACAUUAUGGAUCCCAAUAAAUGAAGUUUACAGUGACUGUGCAGCCCAUCCAUGGCCGAUUCACAGCCUUCUUUGCGAAUGAUAUUGGACUACAUUGAGCUUGCUCAGGAAUAGCAGGAAGCAGGUGACAAUACAUCUGCAUGCACAGUGAGACAAAGGCUUUUGGAGGCUGGCCUGAUGUCAAGAAGAGCAGCAAAGCAGCCAUUAAGGACAGACUGACAUUCGGCAGGAAGUAUAGGGAUUGAUCUGCAGAGGACUGGUGUAAUGUUUUUUUCUUUGAAGAAGCCUUCUUCAAACUGUUUGGGACAUCUUGAAGAAUAACUGUCUGGAGAAGAAAAGGAGAGCACUAUUAUGAGUCUUGUAUAAUGCCAACAGUGGAGCAUCUUUAGAACAUUCAUGCGUCGAGUAGCUUUUUCAUUGAAGGGAGUGAGCUCACUUACAGAUUCACCUAAGGACACUCC